CGUUCUGUAAGCCUGUGAAGGUGUGUCGUGAGGCAUGCUGGAGGUAUCAGAAGUGCGAAUGCUGACAUAAGUAACGAUAAAGCGGGUGAAAAGCCCGCUCGCCGGAAGACCAAGGGUUCCUGUCCAACGUUAAUCGGGGCAGGGUGAGUCGACCCCUAAGGCGAGGCCGAAAGGCGUAGUCGAUGGGAAACGGGUUAAUAUUCCCGUACUUGGUGUUACUGCGAAGGGGGGACGGAGAAGGCUAUGUUGGCCGGGCGACGGUUGUCCCGGUUUAAGCGUGUAGGUGUGUGUUCCAGGUAAAUCCGGUUCACUUUAACACUGAGGCGUGACGACGAGGCACUACGGUGCUGAAGCAACAAAUGCCCUGCUUCCAGGAAAAGCCUCUAAGCAUCAGGUAACAUCAAAUCGUACCCCAAACCGACACAGGUGGUCAGGUAGAGAAUACCAAGGCGCUUGAGAGAACUCGGGUGAAGGAACUAGGCAAAAUGGUGCCGUAACUUCGGGAGAAGGCACGCUGACACGUAGGUGAAGUGAUUUACUCAUGGAGCUGAAGUCAGUCGAAGAUACCAGCUGGCUGCAACUGUUUAUUAAAAACACAGCACUGUGCAAACACGAAAGUGGACGUAUACGGUGUGACGCCUGCCCGGUGCCGGAAGGUUAAUUGAUGGGGUCAGCGCAAGCGAAGCUCCUGAUCGAAGCCCCGGUAAACGGCGGCCGUAACUAUAACGGUCCUAAGGUAGCGAAAUUCCUUGUCGGGUAAGUUCCGACCUGCACGAAUGGCGUAAUGAUGGCCAGGCUGUCUCCACCCGAGACUCAGUGAAAUUGAACUCGCUGUGAAGAUGCAGUGUACCCGCGGCAAGACGGAAAGACCCCGUGAACCUUUACUAUAGCUUGACACUGAACAUUGAGCCUUGAUGUGUAGGAUAGGUGGGAGGCUUUGAAGUGUGGACGCCAGUCUGCAUGGAGCCGACCUUGAAAUACCACCCUUUAAUGUUUGAUGUUCUAACGUGGACCCGUUACCCGGGUUGCGGACAGUGUCUGGUGGGUAGUUUGACUGGGGCGGUCUCCUCCUAAAGAGUAACGGAGGAGCACGAAGGUUGGCUAAUCCUGGUCGGACAUCAGGAGGUUAGUGCAAUGGCAUAAGCCAGCUUGACUGCGAGCGUGACGGCGCGAGCAGGUGCGAAAGCAGGUCAUAGUGAUCCGGUGGUUCUGAAUGGAAGGGCCAUCGCUCAACGGAUAAAAGGUACUCCGGGGAUAACAGGCUGAUACCGCCCAAGAGUUCAUAUCGACGGCGGUGUUUGGCACCUCGAUGUCGGCUCAUCACAUCCUGGGGCUGAAGUAGGUCCCAAGGGUAUGGCUGUUCGCCAUUUAAAGUGGUACGCGAGCUGGGUUUAGAACGUCGUGAGACAGUUCGGUCCCUAUCUGCCGUGGGCGCUGGAGAACUGAGGGGGGCUGCUCCUAGUACGAGAGGACCGGAGUGGACGCAUCACUGGUGUUCGGGUUGUCAUGCCAAUGGCACUGCCCGGUAGCUAAAUGCGGAAGAGAUAAGUGCUGAAAGCAUCUAAGCACGAAACUUGCCCCGA
rnacentral:rRNA from 1 species